AGAGUUUGAUCCUGGCUCAGGACGAACGCUGGCGGUGUGCUUCACUCAUGCAAGUCGAACGAGGUAGCAAUACCUAGUGGCGGACGGGUGAGUAACGCGUGGGAAUCUGCCCUUGGGUAGGGGAUAGCAGGCCGAAAGGCCUAUUAAUACCGUAUAUGCCGUGAGGUAAAAGGAGUAAUCCGCCCGAGGAUGAGCCUGCGUCCGAUUAGCUAGUUGGUGGGGUAAAAGCCUACCAAGGCUACGAUCGGUAGCUGGUCUGAGAGGAUGAUCAGCCACAAUGGGACUGAGACACGGCCCAUACUCCUACGGGAGGCAGCAGUGGGGAAUUUUACGCAAUGGGGGAAACCCUGACGUAGCGACACCGCGUGAGCGAAGAAGCCUUUUGGGGUGUAAAGCUCUGUCAGCAGGAACGAAUAAAUGACGGUACCUGCAGAGGAAGCAUCGGCUAACUACGUGCCAGCAGCCGCGGUAAGACGUAGGAUGCGAGCGUUGUCCGGAUUCAUUGGGCGUAAAGAGUUCGUAGGCGGUUUGUUAAGUCUGGUGUUAAAGAUCAGGGCCCAACCCUGGGAGUGCAUUGGAUACUGGCAGACUUGAGUACAGUAGAGGCGAGUGGAAUUCCCAGUGUAGCGGUGAAAUGCGUAGA
rnacentral:rRNA from 1 species